rnacentral:rRNA from 1 species
GAUAUGGCUCAGGAUGAACGCUGGCGGCGUGCUUAACACAUGCAAGUCGAACGAAGCGCUUAAGAUUGAUUCUUCGGAUGAAGUCUUUUGUGACUGAGUGGCGGACGGGUGAGUAACGCGUGGGUAACCUGCCUCAUACAGGGGGAUAACAGUUAGAAAUGACUGCUAAUACCGCAUAAGCGCACGGUGUCGCAUGACACAGUGUGAAAAACUCCGGUGGUAUGAGAUGGACCCG